UGUACGUUUUCCAAGCUAACUGGCUGGGGUCUCAAGAGAGCAGAGCAGAGGGGGAAAAUCACCUCUCUCGACCUGCUGGCCAUGCUGCUUUUGAUGCAGCCCAGGAUACGGUUGGCUUUCUGGGCUACAAGUGCACAUUGCUGUUUCACAUAGAGCUUUUCAUCCACCAGUACCCCCAAGCACUUCUCUGCAGGGCAAUUCGCCAUAAUUUGCCCUUUUGCCUAGAACAAAGCAAGGAAGCUGCAAAUCUUCCUAGUCAGUGUAUUACUGGGAUGAAGGUGGGAUUUGCUGUUAGCUGUUGCUAUCAAGGGGUUGAACUGAGGGCCACGUUCCCGGAGAACAUUAGAUACUGAGUUCCUAAAAUGGCCACCAGAACUCAGUCUGAAUGGUGAUGACCUCUGUACAGAGAAUGGGGAGCAAUGCAGAAGAGACCGACAAAAAACCUGCUGAGACAGCCGGUCCUGUGCCUGAGAAAAGUGCCCUUCUUCUCUGGGGACUCCUUGGACAAAACUGCUGAAAGCCUUCUGACACCUUUGCUUGUUUUCCUGAUCAUCGGGGUGGACUGUUCAUGGAGGAGGUGAUCCAUGAAUAUCAAUUGAUUCUCCUGAACCCCUGUUCUCCCAAGUGUCAUCUCCCAUGGGAUUUCUCCAAGAAGACCCCUGAAGAGACCAAAAUCUACUUUCCUGAAAUUUGUUGCUGUGAUCCUGCUUUUUGCCUUGUUCCUUCCUCUCAGGACCCUGAACUCCACCAUCUCCUGAAUACUGCAGAAGCAGUACCAGGAAGGCUUCCGAAGAGAUCAGCACCAUGGACAGAAACUGAGCUGCCUCCUGGUGCUCAAAUGCGACCCGAGAAAUAUGAACGUGUAGAUGCCGAAAGCCUCCCCAAGGACUGAUUGCCAAAACAAACCCUAGCCUGCAGCAGAGCCUAUCACUGACAUCAUAUACCAGCUUCAGUCACCCCAAUAUCCCAUUUGGUGGGAGCAAGCAGUGAAAGAUGUCAGUGUAUGAAUUUCUCCUGUGUCCUAAGACCUCAGAAUAUACACAACAGUGAAAAAUGAAGUAAAUCAUGCUUUACAAGCUAAAUAAACCACUUUAACACUGCU